rnacentral:rRNA from 1 species
CAGUAGCCGCGGGAAUACAGAGGGUGCGAGCGUUAAUCGGAUUUACUGGGCGUAAAGCGUGCGUAGGCGGCUUUUUAAGUCGGAUGUGAAAUCCCUGAGCUUAACUUAGGAAUUGCAUUCGAUACUGGGAAGCUAGAGUAUGGGAGAGGAUGGUAGAAUUCCAGGUGUAGCGGUGAAAUGCGUAGAGAUCUGGAGGAAUACCGAUGGCGAAGGCAGCCAUCUGGCCUAAUACUGACGCUGAGGUACGAAAGCAUGGGGAGCAAACAGGAUUAGAUACCCCGGUAGUCCCUGUCCUUAUACC